AACCCAGACCUUGUGUAUGCUAAGCACACAUUCUAACUGAGCUAUAUCCUUCCCCCUCUGACUAGCUGCUUUUAUUUAGCAAUACGCAUUUAAGAUUGAUGCUUGUCUUGUGGUUUACUAGUUCAUUCCUUUUUAUCACUGAAUAAUAUUCUAUUGUGUGGCUGUGCAACAGUUAAUUCAACUGUUGAAGGACAUCUCGGUUGCUUCCAGUUUUUUACAAUUGUACCAAAGUUGCUAUAAACAUUUGCAUAUAGGCUUCUAUAGGAAUGUAAGCUUUUACAUCAAUUAAGCAGUUAUCUAGGAGCAUGAUUGCUAGGUCUUACAUUAAGACUGUAUUUAAUUUUGUAAGAAACUGCCCAACUGUGAGGGUACAGUUGUGCAUUCUCACCAUCAAUGAAUGGGAACUCUUUUUGCUUUGCGUCUUCACUAGCAGUUGGUGGUGUUUGUUUUAGACUUUAGCCAUUACAAUAAAUGUGUGGUGAUACUUCCUGGUUGUUUUAAUUUGCAGUUCCCUAAUGUCAUGUGAUAUGGAGCACAGAGUGGAACUGUUCUUAGUUUUCCA